rnacentral:rRNA from 1 species
AUAUCGCCCUCGGGCUUCUCUUCUCACCCUUUGUUUACCACACGUAGUUGCCUUGGCGCUCCGCGCCAGUGGAUCGAAACUCCUGAAUCAUUGCCGUCUGAGUACUAUUCAAUAGUUAAAACUUUCAACAACGGAUCUCUUGGUUCUGGCAUCGAUGAAGAACGCAGCGAAAUGCGAUAAGUAAUGUGAAUUGCAGAAUUCAGUGAAUCAUCGAAUCUUUGAACGCACAUUGCGCCCUCCGGUAUUCCGGGGGGCAUGCCUGUUCGAGCGUCAUUACAACCCUCAAGCUCUGCUUGGUGUUGAGCCCGCCCCGGCCUGCCCGGGGCUCGCUUCAAAGUCAGUGGCGGCCGCCGUCCGACCUUCAGCGCAGUAAUGCUCGCCGCUGUUAGGGAAGGGUAGCAAGGGCCGUCAUACAACCCCCACACACAAGGUUGACCUCGGAUCAGGUAGGGAUACCCGCUGAACUUAAGCAUAUCAAUAAGCGGAGGAAAAGAAACCAACAGGGAUUGCCUCAGUAACGGCGAGUGAAGCGGCAACAGCUCAAAUUUGAAAGCUGGCUCCUUCGGGGCCCGCGUUGUAAUUUGUAGAGGAUGCUUCGGGCGCGGCACCGGUCUAAGUUCUCUGGAACGAGACGUCAUAGAGGGUGAGAAUCCCGUAUGUGACUGGCUGCCUGUGCCCAUGUGAAGCUCCUUCGACGAGUCGAGUUGUUUGGGAAUGCAGCUCAAAAUGGGAGGUGUACUCCUUCUAAAGCUAAAUAUUGGCCAGAGACCGAUAGCGCACAAGUAGAGUGAUCGAAAGAUGAAAAGCACUUUGGAAAGAGAGUUAAACAGUACGUGAAAUUGUUGAAAGGGAAGCGCUUGCAAUCAGACUUGCGCGGCGUCGAUCAGCCUGGGUUCUCCCGGGUGCACUCGGCGCCGCUCAGGCCAGCAUCAGUUUCGGCGGUGGGAUAAAGGCCUAGGGAACGUGGGUCCCCUCGGGG